rnacentral:rRNA from 1 species
AUUGAACGCUGGCGGCAGGCCUAACACAUGCAAGUCGAACGGUAGCACAGAGAGCUUGCUCUCGGGUGACGAGUGGCGGACGGGUGAGUAACGUCUGGGAAACUGCCCGAUGGAGGGGGAUAACUACUGGAAACGGUAGCUAAUACCGCAUAACGUCGCAAGACCAAAGUGGGGGACCUUCGGGCCUCACACCAUCGGAUGUGCCCAGAUGGGAUUAGCUAGUAGGUGGGGUAAUGGCUCACCUAGGCGACGAUCCCUAGCUGGUCUGAGAGGAUGACCAGCCACACUGGAACUGAGACACGGUCCAGACUCCUACGGGAGGCAGCAGUGGGGAAUAUUGCACAAUGGGCGCAAGCCUGAUGCAGCCAUGCCGCGUGUAUGAAGAAGGCCUUCGGGUUGUAAAGUACUUUCAGCGGGGAGGAAGGCGGUGAGGUUAAUAACCUUGCCGAUUGACGUUACCCGCAGAAGAAGCACCGGCUAACUCCGUGCCAGCAGCCGCCGCCG